GAAAUGAGAUAAGUAAUGUGAAUUGCAGAAUUCAGUGAAUCAUCGAAUCUUUGAACGCACAUUGCGCCCGCCAGUAUUCUGGCGGGCAUGCCUGUUCGAGCGUCAUUUAAACCAUCAAGCCCCCGGCUUGUGUUGGGGACCUGCGGCUGCCCGCAGGCCCUGAAAAACAGUGGCGGGCUCGCUGUCACACCGAGCGUAGUAGCAUACAUUCUCGCUCAGGGCGUGCUGCGGGUUCCGGCCGUUAAACGACCUUCAUAACCCAAGGUUGACCUCGGAUCAGGUAGGAAGACCCGCUGAACUGAAGC
rnacentral:misc_RNA from 1 species